rnacentral:rRNA from 1 species
GGGUCCUAAGCUGAGGCCGACAGGCGUAGGCGAUGGAUAACAGGUUGAUAUUCCUGUACCACCUAUAAUCGUUUUAAUCGAUGGGGGGACGCAGUAGGAUAGGCGAAGCGUGCGAUUGGAUUGCACGUCUAAGCAGUAAGGCUGAGUAUUAGGCAAAUCCGGUACUCAUUAAGGCUGAGCUGUGAUGGGGAGAAGACAUUGUGUCUUCGAGUCGUUGAUUUCACACUGCCGAGAAAAGCCUCUAGAUAGAAAAUAGGUGCCCGUACCGCAAACCGACACAGGUAGUCAAGAUGAGAAUUCUAAGGUGAGCGAGCGAACUCUCGUUAAGGAACUCGGCAAAAUGACCCCGUAACUUCGGGAGAAGGGGUGCUCUUUAGGGUUAACGCCCAGAAGAGCCGCAGUGAAUAGGCCCAAGCGACUGUUUAUCAAAAACACAGGUCUCUGCUAAACCGUAAGGUGAUGUAUAGGGGCUGACGCCUG